rnacentral:rRNA from 1 species
GUGGGGAAUAUUGGACAAUGGGGGGAAUCCUGAUCCAGCCAUGCCGCGUGUGUGAAGAAGGCCUUUUGGUUGUAAAGCACUUUAAGCGAGGAGGAGGCUACUCUAGUUAAUACCUAGGGAUAGUGGACGUUACUCGCAGAAUAAGCACCGGCUAACUCUGUGCCAGCAGCCGCGGUAAUACAGAGGGUGCGAGCGUUAAUCGGAUUUACUGGGCGUAAAGCGUGCGUAGGCGGCUUUUUAAGUCGGAUGUGAAAUCCCUGAGCUUAACUUAGGAAUUGCAUUCGAUACUGGGAAGCUAGAGUAUGGGAGAGGAUGGUAGAAUUCCAGGUGUAGCGGUGAAAUGCGUAGAGAUCUGGAGGAAUACCGAUGGCGAAGGCAGCCAUCUGGCCUAAUACUGACGCUGAGGUACGAAAGCAUGGGGAGCAAACAGGAUUAGAUACCCCGGUAGUCC